UGGUACCUCCCCAUCCAAACUUUGUGGCUGGAAUUGCGGCCUUGUUUGCAUCCUAUUACAACUUCAAUUUGCUGUACCAGGAGCAGGCGUCAUGCACGCUUGAAUUCAUUCAAAGAUGCUUCAUUGGAAUUAAUCCAACCAUCGGCAAGAAAGGUGGGAAGGUCUCGGCGAAAAAGAGCAACACUGUCAACCCACAUGUGUGUACGCUUCUCAAAUGCUUAAUGGACUUUGAAUGGCUGUCUGUGUGAGUAUGGAAUGAAAAGUUCUCAAACGAAAGAACCAAGGAUCUUUGUGGACAUAGCAUCCCAGUUGUUCAUAUGUUGUUCAUUGUGUAUUCAGAAUGCGUUGUUAUUGGAUUAGUUAAGUUGUUUUGCUAAAUUAUAUUUCAUUCAAUGUUUGGUAGAAUCUGUACACCUUUCAAACACCUUUCUAUGCCUAAUUGCUGUAAUAGAAAAAUCUACCCUUGUAGUUCUUAUUUUGGUACAUGUUUAUGAAAUACGUUCUCCACUUGUAUGCAGGAAUAUGUAUUUUUAAAGGCCAAUUCUACUGAUUUUUUAAAAUGUUUGCAGAAUUAAAUCAUUUGUUGUACAUGAAUUUCUUCAGUGUUGGUGAUAAAUAUGAGAGGUCUAUUAAAAAAAAAAAGAUAAAAAAAAAAUGUUUACUGUUUAACUUUCUACUAUAAGUCUCCAGAUUGUUAUGUCAUGUUUGUACAGUACAAUUGUAGUGCAUCAGAGAGAAAAAAGUGCCCUGUACCUGUACUUCUUUUGAAUUUUAUGAAUUUAUGAAUUUUAAACAGAUUGUUUUUAGUCCAACCUUAUCUCAACAUUAUUAAUAAAUGUUUGACAUUGUAA